rnacentral:rRNA from 1 species
AAAUUGAAGAGUUUGAUCAUGGCUCAGAUUGAACGCUGGCGGCAGGCCUAACACAUGCAAGUCGAACGGUAGCACAGAGAGCUUGCUCUCGGGUGACGAGUGGCGGACGGGUGAGUAAUGUCUGGGAAACUGCCUGAUGGAGGGGGAUAACUACUGGAAACGGUGGCUAAUACCGCAUAACGUCGCAAGACCAAAGAGGGGGACCUUCGGGCCUCUUGCCAUCAGAUGUGCCCAGAUGGGAUUAGCUAGUUGGUGAGGUAACGGCUCACCAAGGCGACGAUCCC